CCUACGGGGGGCAGCAGUGAGGAAUAUUGGUCAAUGGGCGCGAGCCUGAACCAGCCAAGUCGCGUGAGGGAUGACGGCCCUACGGGUUGUAAACCUCUUUUGUCGGGGAGCAAAUUCCGUUACGUGUAACGGAGUCGAGAGUACCCGAAGAAAAAGCAUCGGCUAACUCCGUGCCAGCAGCCGCGGUAAUACGGAGGAUGCGAGCGUUAUCCGGAUUUAUUGGGUUUAAAGGGUGCGUAGGCGGACUGUCAAGUCAGCGGUAAAAUACGGGGGCUCAACCUCCGCCCGCCGUUGAAACUGACGGUCUUGAGUGGGCGAGAAGUAUGCGGAAUGCGUGGUGUAGCGGUGAAAUGCAUAGAUAUCACGCAGAACUCCGAUUGCGAAGGCAGCAUACCGGCGCCCAACUGACGCUGAAGCACGAAAGCGUGGGUAUCGAACA
rnacentral:rRNA from 1 species